UACGUAGGGUGCAAGCGUUGUCCGGAAUUAUUGGGCGUAAAGAGCUCGUAGGCGGUUUGUCGCGUCGGCUGUGAAAACUCGGGGCUCAACCCCGAGCCUGCAGUCGAUACGGGCAGACUAGAGUGCGGUAGGGGGAGACUGGAAUUCCUGGUGUAGCGGUGAAAUGCGCAGAUAUCAGGAGGAACACCGGUGGCGAAGGCGGGUCUCUGGGCCGUAACUGACGCUGAGGAGCGAAAGCGUGGGGAGCAAACAGG
rnacentral:rRNA from 1 species